UAUAUUUGCAUCGCUUUUGGUUCCCUGAUUGUAAAAAGUCAGGGAUUAAAAGGGAAUCCGGUGUAAAUCCGGAACUGGCCCGCAGCUGUAAGCUCCGAUAACCAGGGUCCCACCUCAGUCACUGUUCUCUAAUUAUCAAGAGGAUGGGAAGACAGGACCCGGGGGAGUAAGUCAGAAGACCUGCCUAAGCACUCAGCAAUUC
rnacentral:ncRNA from 1 species